CGAGCGCGGGUGCUUUGGCAAGAAAGAGAGGGGGUUAGGAAGUAUCAUCUAGUUAACUGGCUUGACGUUUGUCAACCUAGAGACCAAGGGGGGUUGGGUGUUACUAAUCUAGAUAUCAAGAAUAUUAGUCUUUUGUGUAAGUGGCUCUGGAGACUUGAGAAUGAAGAUGGGGAUUGGCAGGAGAUGAUUAGAGCAAAGUAUUUGAAGAGGAAAACUCUGUCUCAAUGUGAGUCAUCUCCUGCCAACUCUCAUUUCUGGAAUGGUAUCAUGAGUGUUAAAGAUAUCUUUUACAACUGUUGUCAGAGAAUUGUUGGGGAUGGGCAUAAAACUAGAUUUUGGGAAGAUGCUUGGAUCCACAACAAGCCUCUCUGUCAACUUUUU
rnacentral:rRNA from 1 species